UGGAGGCCAUUGUUCUGCUGGAAUGGAAAUUUGCAUCUAAAUUCUCAAACGUCAUAAGAGCGAGCCUGUUUUUCUUGAAGAUUUUCUGGUGCUUUGACCUCACCCUAAACACCUCAAUCCAGACAAGAUUUCCAUUUCCUGCUGAAGAGAAGCACGGCAGCCACUUCUUGUUUCACACUAGGGAUGGUGUCAACAUGAUGUUCCAUUAAGGGUAUAGUCGACCUUCUGUCUCAGGAUCAUGUGAAAACAUCCUGCCUCAAGCUUCCCAGCAUCAUAUCCCCCUUUUUUGAGAGUGGAGUCAACAAAUGAAGAAUAUGGUUGCUUAUAUCAAAGAUUACACAUCCCCCAACCUGUUUCACAACCCCCAUGCUACCAAUAAAUGAUAUGAUUUCUUUGGACCCCAUCUGUUCAUUUGCUGUGAAAUAUUUUAUGUCAGCAUGGUAAUGAGUAACAAUAAUAGAAAAUAAGGUAAAUCAAUUUGUUUGAAAACUCCUUUAUUAAGACAAGUGUACUCUUCUUUAUUAGUGCAUCUACAAUAAGCACUUGAGAGCAGGAUCCUAUUUUUAUUCUGUAUCCCUUGUUUGUUAAAAUUUUGUUUGUUAUAAAAUAUUUUUUUUAAUGACCAGAUUGGUAGACUCAUCAAGAAAUGUUUCAAAUCCUUCUUCCAGUCUCGAAAAUUGUGGCGGCCCUCUGUACACCCAUCUAAUUAAUGUUGAUGAAAGAUCUUUGCGUCCUCUGUUGACCCCUUCCAUGUCAAUAUGUCAAUCAAUACUUUUACAUUGAUUAUAAAUAUAUUCUUAGUGUUGGUUAAUUAUCUCCUGGCACUACUUUGUCUUCAGAGCAGUUUACUGUCCUUAAAAUGCACAAAAAGUAGAAACAUUAUAACCUGAUUAUAGCACUUAUGCUUAGCGUUGAAUUAGUUGGAACAUGAUUUACCCAGCUGACUGGGACAAUAUAUGUUCAGAAUCUGCGCUUUUUGUUUGUUUUCAUCAACCAGCUGACUCCCCUCUGAUAUUAAAGGUCCCACCCUUUCCUGCUUCAUUUUUUUACAUGUAUAAUGCAGGGGUAUAUUAGCCUAUAUGUAUUAUACAGGGGCUUUAGUAUCCUAUAUGUAUAAUACUGGGGGUAUAUUAUCCUAUAUGUAUAAUACACGGACAGACUGUAAAGCAUCUCAGAUGUCUUUUUCUAUAGCCGAAUAAACAAAGAUCUUCUUA